GCCGGCGCCCGGCGGCGGCGCCGGCCCUGGUGCGGCCGGCCUGAGCCGGGCGGCGGGCGCCCGGCUCAGCCCCGGGCGCCCGCC
rnacentral:tRNA from 1 species